CCUCAUUGCCCGGGGUCGGCGGGGCCCGCCCGCUGCUCCGGGGGCGGGGCCCGCCAAGCCCACGCCCACCCGGAACUCCAGAUGGCCCGCAAGCGCCGCGCGCAGCGCCGGUUCCCGCUCGCGCCUCUCCCUCCACACCUCCCUGCAAGCUGAGGGAGUGGACUCUGGCCUUGGCCAGCCCAGAAAGGGGCUCCCACAGUGCAGCCGUGGGCUGAAGGGCUCCUCAAGUGCCGCCAAAGUGGGAGCCCAGGCAGAGGAGUCGCCGAGAGCGAGCGCGGGCUGUGAGGACUGCCAGCACGCUGUCACCUCUCAAUAACGCCCAUCCCAACGUUUCCUGAGGAAUAAUUUUGGUCGUGUUCCUGCUACUCAGCUUUUCGUGGUUCCUGCUCAUUUUCAGAGUCUAACAUUCCAGCUUUUCCGGAAAUUCUAUACUUUGAUGUAAAAGUUUUCAAAGAAAUGCUUUGGGCAGAAGAGACUCAUGGAAACUGGACACUAUAUCUGGAGCCAGGAAUAAUAGGAUCCGAGAAACAGUAACAAGUAUAAAACAAAGUGGUCUUGAACUCCUGGCCUCAAGUAAUCCUCCCCACUGGGCUUCCCAAAGUGCUGGGACUACAGAGUGGCUGAAAGUUUCAAGAUUGGGUAUCUGCAUCUGAUAAUGGCCUCUGGCUGCUUUAACUCAUGAAAGAGAACCGGGUAUCUGCAUGUGCAAAGAAAUCACAUGGCAAGAAAGGAAGCAAGAGAGAGAAACCAAGGAAGCCAGAUUGUUUUUAAUAAUCUGCUCUCUGACAAACUAUUUCAUUCCCUGGAGAGCAAGAAUUCACUCAUUCAUUCCCUCUGAAGGGCAUUAAUCUAUUCACGAAGGAUCCACCCUCCUGUCCCAAACACCUCUCACUAGGCUCAGUCUUUCAAUGCUGCCACAUUGGGGAUCAAAUUUCAACAUGAGCUUUGACUGGGAAAGACCAAGCUAUAGCAAUGGUCAAUUGAUCUUUGACAAAGGUGCCAAGAACACACAAAAGGAAAAGACAGUCUUUUCAAUAAAUAAUGUUGAGAAUUCUCAUAUAUCCACAUGCAGAAGAAUGAAAUUGGACACUCAUUUCAUUUCAUAUACAAAAAUCAACUCAAAAUGAUGAAUCAAAGGUCUAACACUUAAUAUAAAACUGUAUAGCUACUGGAAGAAGGCUUAGAGAAAAAUGACUUUAUAUUAGUCUAAGCACUAAUUUGGGAGGUAUGACUCCAAAAGUACAGGCAACAAAAGCAAAAAUAGAUAUAUGGGAUUGCCUCAAACUAAAAAGCAUCUGCACGAAAAAAGAAACAAUCAACAGAGUGAAGAGACACUCUACAAAGUAGGAGAAAAUAUUUCAAAUCAUGGGUUCAAUAAGGGGUUAAUAUUCAAAAUGUAUAAAGAAUUCAACUAAAUGGCAAGAAAACAAAUAACCCAAUUUAAAAAAUGGGAAAUAGAACUGAGUAGACAUAUGUACAAGGACCCCUUGUACAUUGUUGUUGGAAAUGUCAGUUAGUAUAUCCAUUAUGGAAAACAGUAUGGAGUUUCCUCAAAAAAUUAAAAAUGGAACUACCAGAUGAUUCAGCAAUACCACUUCUAGGUAUCUAUCCAAAGGAAACAAAGUCAGUAAUGUGAAGAGAUAUCUGUACUCGCAUAUUCAUUGAAGCAGUAUUCACAAUAGCCAAGAUAUGGAAUCAAACUGUUUGUCAGCCGGAUAAAUGGAUAAAGAAAAUUUGGUGUGUGUGUGUGUGUAUCUACACACACACACACACACACAAACACACACAAUGGAAUAUUAUUCAGCCUCCAGAAAGAAGAAAAUCCUGUCAUUGGUGACAACAUUGAUGAACCUGGAGGUCCUUACACUGAAUGAAAUAAGUCAGACAAAUAUUGCAUAAUCUUGCUUUUAUGUAGAACCUAAGAAAGUUAAACCCCUAGAAGUGGAUAGUAGAGUGGUGGUUAUGAGGAGCUGGGGAUAUAGAUGAAAGGGGAUGGAGAUGGGGAGAACAGGGAGAUAUUGGUGAAAGGUUACAAAGUUUCAGUUAUGCAGGAUGAAUAAGUUCUGGAGAUCUAAUAUUAAGUGCGGUGACUAUAGUUAAUAAUACUGCGUACUCGAAAUUUGCUAAGACAGAUCUUAAACAUGCUCACCAUAGAGAAAAAAUAAAUGGUAACUAUGUGAGGUAAUGAUUACGUUACUUAGCUUUUGUUAAUUGUUUAAAAAUGCAUACAUAUAUCAAAACAUCAUGUUGUACAUCUUAAAUACAUAUGAUUUUUCCUUUUCAACUGUACCUCAAUACAACCUCACAAAAGAGAAAAAAACAGAAAAUAAGAGAGUUGGAAUUCUUCCCAAAUUAUUUAAUGAGGCUAGUGUAAUUUUUCUCUCAAAACCUGACAAAGACAGGUGGCAGAGGUUGCAGUGAGCUGAGAUCGCGCCACUGCACUCCAGCUUGGGUGAUGGAGCAAAACUCCAUCUCAAAGAAAAAAAAAAAACCUGACAAAAAGUGUUAAAAAUUAAAGAUUAAUCUCAAAAAUACAAAACAUUUAAUGAACUAAAGCAAAUGGAAAGCAGCAACAUAUAAAAAUUUUAAUUCAUCAAGACCAAGUAAGGCUCAUGCCUAGAAUGUAAGCAUAAUUUAACAUUUAAAAGUCAAUUGGCAUAAUUUACCACACUAAAAUAAUAAAUAAGAAAAAUUACAUGAUCAUCUCAAUAGUUGGAGUAAAAACAUUUGACUAAUUCAAGACCCAUUUAUGCAAAAACUAUCAGCAAACUAGGAGUAGAAAUAAGUUCCUCAAUCUGACAAAAGCUAACUAUGAAAACCUUCAGUUAAUACUAUAUUUAUUGAUGAAAUAUUGAAAAAUUUCCUCCAAAAAUACAAAGCAAGAGAGUUAUAUUAAAUAUUUUACUAGAGGCCCCAGACAGUGCAAUAAUAAAAGAAAAAUUAAAAGGAACAAGUACUGGGAAGCAAGAACUAAAACUGUCUCUCGUCAUUGAAAAUAUAGAAAAUCCUAGGAAACUAAAAAAAAAAAAAACAAAAAAAACACAGAACACUAGCGUUAUAAGUGAGUUUAUUGAGGAUAUGAUGGGAAAAGGCCAAUAUCAAAAUCAAUUGUAUUUCUAUAUAGCAUAGAAAUAAAUUACAAAUUACAAAUUCCAAUAUGUUCCAAAUAAACAUUCAGAAAAUAGUAUUUUAAUAAAAAUUUUAAAAAAUACCUCAGGGUAAAAUUUGAGAAAAGAUUUCCAUGAUUUCUACACUGAAAAUAGUAAAAUAUUGCUGAGAAAUUGAAGAGGAUCUAAUAAAGUAUGAGACAUGCCAUGUACAUUAAUUGGAAAUCUCAAUAUUGUUGACACGUCAAUCCUCCCCAAAGUUAUAGAUUCAAUGCAAUCCUAAUAAAAAUUCAGUUAGUCUUUCUUUUUAAAAAUUGAUAAGAUAAUCUAAUAUUUUAAUGGGAAAGAUAUGGAAUACUAGAUUUUUUUUUAAAGAAGAACAGUUGAAGUCAGUGUAGUAUUGGCAGUAGGAUAGACAUGUAGAUCAAUGGAACAAAAUAAUCCAGAAAUAGUCACAUUAAGGUUAAAUAAAUGUUUACUCAAGUGCUACUGUAAUUCAAUGGGAAAGAAUGGUCUUUUCAACAAAUGGUGGGGGAAGAACUGAAUUAUCUAUAGAAAAAAAAUGAGCCUCAAUUUCUGCCUCCUAUCAUAAAAACAAAUAUAAUGUACCUGUUGAGUGACCGCUGUUGCUAAAUUGCCCCCAGAAC
rnacentral:lncRNA from 10 species